rnacentral:rRNA from 1 species
CCCUUAGAUGUUCUGGGCUGCACGCGCGCUACACUGAAGCUAUCAACACGUUUUCCCUCCCUGAGAAGGGCGGGUAACCUUUUGAAUCAGCUUCGUGGUAGGGAUCGGGGCUUGCAAUUGUUCCCCGUGAACCAGGGAUUCCUAGUAGACGCGAGUCAUAAGCUCGCAUCGAUUAAGUCCCUGCCCUUUGUACACACCGCCCGUCGCUACUACCGAUUGAACGUUUUAGUGAGGCAUUUGGACCGACGCAUCUCAGUUUAACCGCUGGUUUGUGUUGGAAAGACUUCCAAACUUGAGCGUUUAGAGGAAGUAAAAGUCGUAACA